UAAUUAAUUAAUUAAUUAUUUAAGAUGGAGUCUCACUCUGUCACCCAGGCUGGAGUGCAAUGGCACGAUCUCCGCUCACUGCAACCUCUGCCUCCUGGGUUCAAGCGAUUUUCCUGCCUCAGCCUCUUGAGUAGCUGAGAUUACAGGCAAGUGCCACCAUGCCCGGCUAAUUUUUUUCUAUUUUUAGUAGAGACGGGGUUUCACCAUAUUGGUCAGGCUGGUCUUGCACUCUUGACCUCGUGAUCCGCCUGCCUCAGCCUCCCAAAGUGCUGGGAUUACAGGCAUGAGCCACCACACCUGGCGGGUUUGGAAUUUAGACAGCAGGAGUGGCUUGUCUCUGCUGCAUGACAGCUGGGGCUGUGACCACUGUGGGUAACGCAGCAGCUGGGGUGUAUUAUGGUCUAACGGCUCCUUUCCUUAUAUGUCUAACCCUGGCCUGGAGCACUGGAGGAUGAGGUCCGCUGACUGCAGCGUCCAUCCUGGUCCUCCCCAGGCACUGUGGCCUCCCUCACAGCAUGGCUGCCUUGGGUACUCGGACUUCACGUGGAAGGCCAGGGCUCCGAGAGCAAAUGCCCCAGCAAGACAGAAGCUCAGCCGCCUUUGAUGACCUAGAAGCUAGGCAGCAUCCAUUGUACUGCCUUCUAUGGGUUGUGAGUGAGUCCCAAACCUGCCUUGACUCAAGGAAACGGAAUUAGGCUCUACGUCUUGACUAGGUAGUGGCGAAGUUCUGGAAGCACAUGAGUAGGAGAUACUGUGACGGUUUCAUCUUUGGAAAAUACCAUCUAGCACACCUGAAUCUGCUUUCAGGGGGUGUAAGGGGAUUUCCAUGGCAAAAUUUGAAGCCACAUGUGGUCACUGCUUUGUACUGAGGAAACAAAGUGCUCUGGGCAUCCAGAAAGGGGGUACGUUUUUUCUUACUGGGAUAAAUCUGGCUGCAUUUUAGCUAAUCCUGGAAAAUUGAUCGACAAAAGCAAAGGACCAAGAAAGCUGCUUAUAUCAGUGUCUCCUCCACCCUCAGCCUCCAGUAGCAUCCCUACGUUUUACAAUUUUAUUUAUGUCACUUUAAAUAAGGCCCUGAAAGCAGCAGAUCUCACCUGCAUUGGAGGAUGAGACGCCACAUGAAGAAGAAAGAAGACGCCACAGACAGCAGCGCAGUACCACCUUCCAGAGAUUUGGAAAUGCAGAAAUCACCUGUCUUCUGCGUCGAUCAGGCUGGGAGCUGCAGACCGGAGCUGUUCCUAUUCGGCCAUCUUGGAAUGGACCCCCAUGUCUUAUUCUCAAAUAAAACAU
rnacentral:lncRNA from 1 species